GUUUUACCUUAAGUCGUUGACUCAACCCGCGAGGGAGAGAGGCGCCCAAGGUGAGGCUGAUGACUAGGAUGAAGUCGUAACAAGGUAGCCCUACCGGAAGGUGGGGCUGGAUCACCUCCUUUU
rnacentral:rRNA from 1 species